UACAGAGGUCUCAAGCGUUGUUCGGAUUCAUUGGGCGUAAAGGGUGCGUAGGUGGCGUCGUAAGUCGGGUGUGAAAUUUCGGAGCUUAACUCCGAAACUGCAUUCGAUACUGGCGGUGCUUGAGGACUGGAGAGGAGACUGGAAUUCAUGGUGUAGCAGUGAAAUGCGUAGAGAUCAUGAGGAAGACCAGUGGCGAAGGCGGGUCUCUGGACAGUUCCUGACACUGAGACACGAAGGCCAGGGGAGCAAAACGGG
rnacentral:rRNA from 1 species